GGUGGUGGAGGAGAACAUUUCAGACUCAUGGGAAGGUGGCUGUGGGGUCUGCAGCUUCUGGCAGCUCGGCAUUUAUCUGGCUUUCCUGAGCAUCAUCCCUGAGUGGAAAGAAGAUGAGACACCGCAAGCUUUAUGAUGGACGUAGGGCCUCUCUCUUCCCAGGUCUGUGGUCCGGUACUCCAAUUAUUACCCGGCCUUCUUCUCUGGCUGACUCUUCACAGCUCCUUGAGGACCAGUUCUAAAGGUUUCUGAUUCACCUGUGACCAUGGCUAGGACUGGUUUUAGCUGCUGCCUCUCAGAGCUUCAUAAUGAUGGGAAAGGAGCUGAGAAUGUGAAAAAGAAAAGACAAUUAUUACAACCCAGAAAGGACUGCCACUGGAAGCACUUGCUGGGGUGCUUGUCACAUAUCCAAUCCUCUGGUGCAGAGUCCCACAUAACAUGGCAUCCAUCCAAGAAUCAUAAUUUAUAGAAGAGAUGAGCUGCUGUGCUUCUCAAUACCACUCCUGGCUCAUCUCCAGCUCUUCUAUAGAACCAGUGUUCCAAUCAUUGCUUCUCUCAGAAGGAACUUGGUUAAGUGUUGUGUAACAGUUUCUUCCAAGAUUACAAUAUCCAUCCUACAAGGAGCUCUUUAAGCAAGAAGGACACACAGAUUGAAUGAGAAGCCUGAAAGGGAAGAUGAAGGGGGAAGAGAUGCCAAGGAUCAUGGGAGUUACCUGGUAAACUUAAUGUUGGUGUCAUGAAUGUUUUUCUGAAGGAGCUGUGGCAAACAGAAGUGUGCUUCCAAGGACUGAAAUCCAGGCUUGAUUCCACUCCAGUGCAGCCUGGUGACCAGUGAGUUUGACUGGGGUUACUUACAGAAGCAUGGGCAACCUAUGGGCGGUGAGACCACUCAAGAAAACAAUCUCUGUCCUCCACAACUUCUGUUACCUGUCUGUAAAUCCUGGCAGAGGGGUGGGAUCUCGUGAGUCCCUAUUAUAGCAACCAUUAAGUACCUAUAAAUUCUUGAUAAGAAGCACAGCCAGCUUUGUGUAGUUUCCUUCAGAUAAUCACAGGCUCUGACAGUUCAGAGGGCAGUAGGCACAUCAUGUUAGGAAGAUGGUAUUCCAUAGCAGUUGGGUUUCCAGUGGGCUAUCACUGGUUAACUGUCCCAUACAUGAGUGGGAAUGGGGUGGGGGGAGAGGUACAAGACAAACUCGUCAAAGGUUUUUGCUUUAUACUGAGAUAAAAAUGGUGGAUAGCAUUCUUGAGUGCAUAGACUCUCCAGAUACUUGCUGGCUCUUCUGUGCAUGUUAGCCUCUAUGUUAGCAUUCCGUCAUUGAGAUAAAAGGCAGGAGAAACUCAACCUAAAAUGGGGAAAUGGUUUCACUCUGCUGUUACUGGCUUUGUUGUUCUGUAGCCUGCAGUGAGGGAGAAGUCAUGGUGAGAGAGUGUGGUGGACAAAGCCACUUAUUCCAGAGGAGCUGG